UACAGAGGGUGCGAGCGUUAAUCGGAAUUACUGGGCGUAAAGCGCACGUAGGCGGCUUGGUAUGUCGGGUGUGAAAUCCCCGGGCUCAACCUGGGAACUGCAUCCGAAACUGCCUUGCUAGAGUAUGGGAGAGGGAAGUGGAAUUUCCGGUGUAGCGGUGAAAUGCGUAGAUAUCGGAAGGAACAGCAGUGGCGAAGGCGACUUCCUGGACCAAUACUGACGCUCAGGUGCGAAAGCGUGGGGAGCAAACAGG
rnacentral:rRNA from 1 species